UACGUAGGGUGCAAGCGUUGUCCGGAAUUAUUGGGCGUAAAGAGCUCGUAGGCGGCUUGUCGCGUCGGCUGUGAAAACCUGGGGCUCAACCCCGGGCCUGCAGCCGAUACGGGCAAGCUAGAAUUCGGUAGGGGAGACUGGAAUUCCUGGUGUAGCGGUGAAAUGCGCAGAUAUCAGGAGGAACACCGGUGGCGAAGGCGGGUCUCUGGACAGUUCCUGACACUGAGACACGAAGGCCAGGGGAGCAAACGGG
rnacentral:rRNA from 2 species